AGUUACAUUUAGUCAAAGACUGAAGUAAAUAGCUUCUUUCAUCUAAAUUAACUUACUAUCUUGAGUGUCUUGGGUGGUUUUCACAUUCUUGAAGUAAGGGUGAAAUUGUUGAUAACUGGAAGAUGUUCAAAAGCGAAGGCAAUCGCAACAAGACUCUGACGCUGAGGCACGAUGGCGUGGGGAUCAAAGAGGAUUAGAGACCUCGUAGUCCACGCUCUAAACAUGGGUGUUCAAUAUCUUGAGGAUCGAUAGAUCUUUGGGGAAUUUACAGCUAACGCGUCAAACACCCGCUGGGGAAUGUGGCCGCAAGGUUUAAACUCAACGGAAUUGACGGUGACUCAUACAAGGGGUGGAGAUGUGGUUUAAAGUUAACGCGCGAAACACWUAUUUACAAAUAUUUAAAAUAUUAAAAAAGAGGGGAGUGCUUAAAACUGCCCUAUGUACUCGCUAAAGCUCGUACUCUAUUGAAGCUCGUUCCUCGCUUCGUGGNGCAGUUUUUGGUUAAUCCUGUUUGUGAAAUCUAAAAGCAAAAGCAUUGGUAA
rnacentral:rRNA from 1 species